CAGUAGCCACGGGAAUACGAAGGGUGCAAGCGUUAAUCGGAAUUACUGGGCGUAAAGCGUGCGUAGGCGGUUUGUUAAGUCUGCUGUGAAAUCCCCGGGCUCAACCUGGGAAUGGCAGUGGAUACUGGACGGCUAGAGUGUGUCAGAGGAUGGUGGAAUUCCCGGUGUAGCGGUGAAAUGCGUAGAGAUCGGGAGGAACAUCAGUGGCGAAGGCGGCCAUCUGGGACAACACUGACGCUGAAGCACGAAAGCGUGGGGAGCAAACAGGAUUAGAUACCCCGGUAGUCCCUGUCUCUUAUAA
rnacentral:rRNA from 1 species